UGGGGAAUUUUGGACAAUGGGCGCAAGCCUGAUCCAGCCAUGCCGCGUGCAGGAUGAAGGCCUUCGGGUUGUAAACUGCUUUUGUACGGAACGAAAAGGUGCCUUCUAAUAAAGGGCGCUCAUGACGGUACCGUAAGAAUAGGCACCGGCUAACUACGUGCCAGCAGCCGCGGUAAUACGUAGGGUGCGAGCGUUAAUCGGAAUUACUGGGCGUAAAGCGUGCGCAGGCGGUUUUGUAAGACAGAGGUGAAAUCCCCGGGCUCAACCGGGGAACUGCCUUUGUGACUGCAAGGCUGGAGUGCGGCAGAGGGGGAUGGAAUUCCGCGUGUAGCAGUGAAAUGCGUAGAUAUGCGGAGGAACACCGAUGGCGAAGGCAAUCCCCUGGGCCUGCACUGACGCUCAUGCACGAAAGCGUGGGGAGCAAACA
rnacentral:rRNA from 1 species